AAAUGUUAUAGCUCUUUUAGAAUUUAUCUAGCAGGUUUUCUGGUCAACACUGGAAGACACCCCC